rnacentral:rRNA from 1 species
AGAGUUUGAUCAUGGCUCAGAUUGAACGCUGGCGGCAGGCCUAACACAUGCAAGUCGAACGGUAACAGGAAGAAGCUUGCUUCUUUGCUGACGAGUGGCGGACGGGUGAGUAAUGUCUGGGAAACUGCCUGAUGGAGGGGGAUAACUACUGGAAACGGUAGCUAAUACCGCAUAACGUCGCAAGACCAAAGAGGGGGACCUUCGGGCCUCUUGCCAUCGGAUGUGCCCAGAUGGGAUUAGCUAGUAGGUGGGGUAACGGCUCACCUAGGCGACGAUCCCUAGCUGGUCUGAGAGGAUGACCAGCCACACUGGAACUGAGACACGGUCCAGACUCCUACGGGAGGCAGCAGUGGGGAAUAUUGCACAAUGGGCGCAAGCCUGAUGCAGCCAUGCCGCGUGUAUGAAGAAGGCCUUCGGGUUGUAAAGUACUUUCAGCGGGGAGGAAGGGAGUAAAGUUAAUACCUUUGCUCAUUGACGUUACCCGCAGAAGAAGCACCGGCUAACUCCGUGCCAGCAGCCGCGGUAAUACGGAGGGUGCAAGCGUUAAUCGGAAUUACUGGGCGUAAAGCGCACGCAGGCGGUUUGUUAAGUCAGAUGUGAAAUCCCCGGGCUCAACCUGGGAACUGCAUCUGAUACUGGCAAGCUUGAGUCUCGUAGAGGGGGGUAGAAUUCCAGGUGUAGCGGUGAAACGCGUAGAGAUCUGGAGGAAUACCGGUGGCGAAGGCGGCCCCCUGGACGAAGACUGACGCUCAGGUGCGAAAGCGUGGGGAGCAAACAGGAUUAGAUACCCUGGUAGUCCACGCCGUAAACGAUGUCGACUUGGAGGUUGUGCCCUUGAGGCGUGGCUUCCGGAGCUAACGCGUUAAGUCGACCGCCUGGGGAGUACGGCCGCAAGGUUAAAACUCAAAUGAAUUGACGGGGGCCCGCACAAGCGGUGGAGCAUGUGGUUUAAUUCGAUGCAACGCGAAGAACCUUACCUGGUCUUGACAUCCACGGAAGUUUUCAGAGAUGAGAAUGUGCCUUCGGGAACCGUGAGACAGGUGCUGCAUGGCUGUCGUCAGCUCGUGUUGUGAAAUGUUGGGUUAAGUCCCGCAACGAGCGCAACCCUUAUCCUUUGUUGCCAGCGGUCCGGCCGGGAACUCAAAGGAGACUGCCAGUGAUAAACUGGAGGAAGGUGGGGAUGACGUCAAGUCAUCAUGUCCCUUACGACCAGGGCUACACGCGUGCUACAAUGGCGCAUACAAAGAGAAGCGACCUCGCGAGAGCAAGCGGACCUCAUAAAGUGCGUCGUAGUCCGGAUUGGAGUCUGCAACUCGACUCCAUGAAGUCGGAAUCGCUAGUAAUCGUGGAUCAGAAUGCCACGGUGAAUACGUUCCCGGGCCUUGUACACACCGCCCGUCACACCAUGGGAGUGGGUUGCAAAAGAAGUAGGUAGCUUAACCUUCGGGAGGGCGCUUACCACUUUGUGAUUCAUGACUGGGGUGAAGUCGUAACAAGGUAACCGUAGGGGACCUGCGGUUG